CCCUUAGAUGUUCUGGGCCGCACGCGCGCUACACUGACUGCUCCAACAAGUUACCUGGGCUGACAAGCAUCCGGGAAAUCUUGCAAAGGCAGUCGUGAUGGGGAUAGAUUCUUGUAAUUUUUGAUCCUCAACGAGGAAUUCCUAGUAAACGCAAGUCAUCAGCUUGCAUUGAUUACGUCCCUGCCCUUUGUACACACCGCCCGUCGCAUCUACCGAUUGAAUGGAGAGGCAAAAUCUUCGGACCGUGACGCUUGGGAGUCAAAUCUCGGGCUGUCGUGGGAAGUGGAUUAAACCUUUCUAUUUAGAGGAAGGUAAAGUCGUAACA
rnacentral:rRNA from 1 species